GAAGCCCUGGGCCCGGCAGAGGAAGGUCGAGAUGGACCAUGUUGGGCCCCUUCUCUCCCCGCCCCCAGGCCGCAGUUCGGGGGCCACGCCCCGGCGUGCUCGGGUCACCGCGGGAAGCCCUUGAACCCCCUGGCGCCCGGCACCCACGUGCGGUAACCGCGGCUCCUCGAGAGCUCCAGGGAUGCGGAUCUACAGUAAGGGCUGUGGCCAGAUGAAUGAAUGCACAUUUUUUAGUGGGCAGAAAGAUGUUAGAAUUCAUGAAUUAGAAUAAGCACAAAGGAGGGCGAGAGGGGAGGCCGUGGAAGCCGCAUUCCUCCCCUUGCCUUGGGCGCCCACCCCCGAAGGGGCGCGUCCCCUCCCUGCUCCACUGCACGUGGGUGUUUAACCAGGGGAUAUCCAGUGCCUCAAGCACCACGACCCGGGAGAAAACUGAGUUGAGAAGGGUCCAUUCAAGAAUUGUGCCCACAAUAUACCAGGCACUUGUCCAGACCUGCAUCGUCCAAUGCCCACCUCGACCUCCCAAAGUGUUGGGAUUAGAGGCGUGAGCCACCGCGCCCUGCCUGCAUGUGGCUAUUGAGAUGUGCUGUAUGAUACACACCGGACUUUGAAGACUCAGUGUGAAAAAUAAAAAGAAUUUUAAGAGGGGUGGGGGUCGAGGGGAGGCAGAGCAGUAGGACAAAUAGCUAAUGCACGCAGGGCUUAAAACCUAGACAACAGGUUGAUGGGUGCAGCAAACCACCAUGACACAUGUUUAUCUAUAUAGCACCUACAUGUUCUGCACUUGUAUCCUGGAACUUAAAAUUAGAAAAAAAAAAUAAUAAAAGCCAACAUGGCAUUCAUUACUGCCAAAAAAAUUA
rnacentral:lncRNA from 1 species